AACGAACGCUGGCGGCAGGCCUAACACAUGCAAGUCGAACGCCCGUAGCAAUACGGGAGUGGCAGACGGGUGAGUAACACGUGGGAACGUACCCCAAGGUACGGAACAACUCCGGGAAACUGGAGCUAAUACCGUAUGUGCCCGAAAGGGGAAAGAUUUAUCGCCUUGGGAUCGGCCCGCGUCUGAUUAGCUAGUUGGUGGGGUAAUGGCCCACCAAGGCUACGAUCAGUAGCUGGUCUGAGAGGAUGAUCAGCCACACUGGGACUGAGACACGGCCCAGACUCCUACGGGAGGCUG
rnacentral:rRNA from 1 species